GCUGGGUGUGGUGGCUCACACCUGUAAUCCCAGCACUUUGGGAGGCUGAGGCUGGUGGAUCACCUGAGGUCAGGAGUUCGAGACCAGCCUGGCCAACAUGGUGAAACCCCGUCUCUA
ensembl:misc_RNA Metazoa_SRP Metazoan signal recognition particle RNA